rnacentral:rRNA from 1 species
AGAGUUUGAUCCUGGCUCAGGACGAACGCUGGCGGCGUGCUUAACACAUGCAAGUCGAACGAUGAAGCCCUUCGGGGUGGAUUAGUGGCGAACGGGUGAGUAACACGUGGGCAAUCUGCUUCACUCUGGGACAAGCCCUGGAAACGGGGUCUAAUACCGGAUAUCAGCCUUGCAGGCAUCUGUGAGGUUUGAAAGCUCCG